rnacentral:rRNA from 1 species
AACGAACGCUGGCGGCAGGCCUAACACAUGCAAGUCGAGCGAUCCUUUCGGGGAUAGCGGCGGACGGGUGAGUAACGCGUGGGAACGUACCCUUUGCUACGGAAUAGCCUCGGGAAACUGGGAGUAAUACCGUAUGUGCCCUUCGGGGGAAAGAUUUAUCGGCAAAGGAUCGGCCCGCGUUGGAUUAGGUAGUUGGUGGGGUAAUGGCCUACCAAGCCGACGAUCCAUAGCUGGUUUGAGAGGAUGAUCAGCCACACUGGGACUGAGACACGGCCCAGACUCCUACGGGAGGCAGCAGUGGGGAAUCUUAGACAAUGGGGGCAACCCUGAUCUAGCCAUGCCGCGUGAGUGAUGAAGGCCCUAGGGUUGUAAAGCUCUUUCAGCUGGGAAGAUAAUGACGGUACCAGCAGAAGAAGCCCCGGUCUAACUCCGUG